CGUGUGACAAUGUCAGACAUUUCCAUGCUGUUUGGGAUUCAUGAGUAAUGAAGCCUUGGAAUGAGCCCACAACUUAUGCUCCAGAUGCUUCCCUUUGCUUCCUGUUUCUCCAUCAGUCAGGACUGCAUUUGAUUGCAGGAAGAAGAGAAAUGAGUUACAAGGGAAUUUGAGUUUAUCGGUCUUUGGACACCAGAGUCUGUGGAGGCUGCUGCUCCAGACUUCUAUUGUUGUGGCAUUUGCAGAUAUGAACAAAGCGUCAACCGAGAAUGAGUAAGAAGUGGUCCAGACCGAGCUGAAAAGGGCCAGUUUAAGGCCCAGGAAUCUGGCUGUCCCAUUGGCUAAGGUCUUUUCUAGAAGUUCUCUAUCCAAAGUAAUCCUUGGAGGGCUUCCCAUUGGUUCCUAGUAGCUGUCAUCACUGCUGCUCCUCUUCAUCCCA